CGAAAGUGAGUGGCGGACGGGUGAGUAACACGUGGGUAACCUGCCCAGAAGCAGGGGAUAACACCUGGAAACAGAUGCUAAUACCGUAUAACAGAGAAAACCGCCUGGUUUUCUUUUAAAAGAUGGUCUGCUAUCACUUCUGGAUGGACCCGC
rnacentral:rRNA from 1 species